rnacentral:rRNA from 1 species
UACGUGGGCAGCAAGCGUUGUUCGGAGUUACUGGGCGUAAAGGGCGCGUAGGCGGCCACCGCAAGUCGACUGUGAAAUCUCCGGGCUUAACCCGGAAAGGUCAGCCGAUACUGCGGGGCUAGAGUGCAGAAGGGGCAACUGGAAUUCUCGGUGUAGCGGUGAAAUGCGUAGAUAUCGAGAGGAACACCUGCGGCGAAGGCGGGUUGCUGGGCUGACACUGACGCUGAGGCGCGAAAGCUAGGGGAGCGAACGGG